rnacentral:rRNA from 1 species
UAGGGAAUCUUCCACAAUGGACGAAAGUCUGAUGGAGCAACGCCGCGUGAGCGAAGAAGGUUUUCGGAUCGUAAAGCUCUGUUGUGAGGGAAGAACAAGUACGGGAGUAACUGCCCGUACCUUGACGGUACCUCAUUAGAAAGCCACGGCUAACUACGUGCCAGCAGCCGCGGUAAUACGUAGGUGGCAAGCGUUGUCCGGAAUUAUUGGGCGUAAAGCGCGCGCAGGCGGUCCUUUAAGUCUGAUGUGAAAGCCCACGGCUCAACCGUGGAGGGUCAUUGGAAACUGGGGGACUUGAGUGCAGAAGAGGAAAGCGGAAUUCCACGUGUAGCGGUGAAAUGCGUAGAGAUGUGGAGGAACACCAGUGGCGAAGGCGGCUUUCUGGUCUGUAACUGACGCUGAGGCGCGAAAGCGUGGGGAGCAAACA